rnacentral:rRNA from 1 species
UACGUAGGGUGCUAGCGUUGUCCGGAAUCAUUGGGCGUAAAGAGCGCGUAGGCGGCCAGAUAAGUCCGGUGUGAAAGUCAAAGGCUCAACCUUUGAAUGCCGCUGGAAACUGUCUGGCUAGAGUCCGGGAGGGGCGAGUGGAAUUCCUGGUGUAGCGGUGAAAUGCGCAGAUAUCAGGAGGAACACCAAUGGCGAAGGCAGCUCGCUGGAACGGUACUGACGCUGAGGCGCGAAAGCGUGGGGAGCAAACGGG